GGGUCUGUGAUCUAGCGGCUAUGAUGCCUCUUUGACGUAGAGGAUGUCCUCGGUUCAAAUCCGAGCAGACCCA
rnacentral:tRNA from 1 species